rnacentral:rRNA from 1 species
AACGGCCGUACCAUGCUGAAUAUACCGGUUCUCGUUAGAUCACCGAAGUCAAGCAUCAUUGGGCGCGGUCAGUACUUGGGUGGGUGACGACCUGAGGACACCCCGUGCCGUU